GUACCAUUUGCUUAAGUUAUUGGCCCAUAGAGUUGGCGAGUCAUCACAAUCUACAUACGCGUCUCCUCUCCUUCCCUGUUACUUUACUUUUUUGUUUACAAAAACUACCCUACAGACCCCAUCUCUCGCACAGCUCUCUAUUCUUUUGCUUGGUGUUCUACAAUUUUUGUGAUAAUAUACAACAUUUUGCUGUAUUGCAAGUUGUACCAUUUGCUUAAGUUAUUGGCCCAUAGAGUUGGCGAGUCAUCACAAUCUACAUACACGUCUCCUCUCCUUCCCUGUUACUUUACUUUUUUGUUUACAAAAACUACCCUACAGACCCCAUCUCUCACACAGCUCUCUAUUCUUUUGCUUGGUGUUCUACAAUUUUUGUGAACGGGGUUAAUGGUGCUUCAUGACGGCGAUGGUCGCCGACCUCCGGAGUGCUUAACGACUGGAUUAGGCUUUCGCCGCAUGUGGCGGUGAGGAUGGUGUAUUCUGGUGGUGAUUCAAAACGCCAUUAAACAUUUAGGUGAUGUACGUGAAUGUGUGAGAGAAAGUAAGCUAUUGGAGAGAGAGAGUAGGAAAAUGGUUGGUGGUUCGCGGUGGUUCACGACGGAGCUUAGGGUUUCGUCAAUCCUCUCUCUUAUCCGAUCAAGACUCUGGUGAAUCUGAUGUAACACUUUCUUAAUUAUAAUAUAAUCCUCAUCUCUAUAAAUGUACAUUGGUUGUUUAAUUUUUAGGUUAUCUUUAACAAUGCAUAAAGUUAUUGGGUUGAUUUGGAUAGACACAUUCUAAAACUGCGUGCGUGUGAUGUUUAGGUGGACAAUAGGUUUUACAAAUAAGAUUAAACAAUGUCGUAUGAUUUGUUUUAUACACAAGUUUAAGUUUUAUUUUUAUGUGUGUAUUCAGUUUAAGGCUGUGGAUUUGUGGUUUGAACUAGAUUGCAAAUUUGCGGUAUGAUUUGGGUUUGCGGCUAAGAAUUAAGGGUUCGAUUAUGUUAGGUAUUCAGUUUAAGAUAGUCCCUGCACUCUAUUGUGCUUUUGUUGAUUUUUGGCUCUACGUAUAUCUGUUUCUGUUCUUCAAUGUUAUUGUUAGGUGACAUAUUGCUAAAGACUAGCAAACAGUUCGUUGCAGCAUAUUGUGCUUGAAUGCAGUUACAAUAGGCCUCUAACUAAUAGUAGGGACACCAGUUAGGUUAAGUUAGAGCAGUGAUCAAAGUAUUCAAUCAUCAUUCUACCCUUUGCAUUGUGGGGAUCUGGGCCAAAGUUAUGAGUCAGACAUGAGCAAGCGUUGAUUAUCGGGUAAUCGGGUGGGGGUAUGGGUAUAUCACCAAAUCCCACACCAGUCUCAACACCGUUGGUGAAAAAGUUGCCAUUCAAAGCCAGGUCAAAUCCAUUGGCGUUGAUCUUGAUUAGAUACGCAAAGAUCAACAAGCUAUUAAGGCCAAACUUAAGAACUCGAGGCUGAAAAAGAGGCCUUCUUUGGAGAAGGAAUUGCGUGUAGUGAUUGAUAAAAGGGAUAAGGUCUAUAAUAAACGUAAAGAAGGGAUAUGUUUUUAAUUUCCAUUGUUGUGCUUCAGACUUUGAAAAGGCUGUUUUUGAUCAUUUGUUGUCUUUUUUUUCUUUCCAGAAUACUUACUUUUACCAAAACCGCUCCCUCUUGAUUGAUGCAAGAAGGCUGGCUAUGAGUAAGGAUGUUAAUGCCCUUAUAGAGCUUUCAACCUCAACGGUUUGUUAAUUGCCUCCCGACGAUUGUUUUGUACAUCAUUAAUAUAAUACUUAUAUUCCCAUUUCACAAUAUUCCGAACACUCUGAACAUAGAGGGCACACUCGAGCACCGUUCUUCACUUACGGUUCAGUAUCUUAUUUUUUACAUUUGAUAUUGCAUACCCACUUUUAGAAUGCACACUUACAUUGUCUGAUUUUUAAGCUUUAUAAGCACAUUCGAAUACUUAUAUACGCUUAUUGCAAUCAGGUCGACUAAUUCAUGUCGGAGUGGAAUGGUAGUAAAGCGUUCAGGGAAGAUAUAAAAAAGGAAUAUUGCAAUCACUCGAGAUUCGCUAGCUCACCAAGGAUGGGUGUAUGAGGAAUCCUAGAGAGAAGCGUUUGCACAAGAAUCACCAGCCCAUGUUCCUGUUGAAACUAAUCAAAUCUGCUGUUGACCGAACGAUCGAAAUAUCCUACAUGGUGAAUCCAAAAACGGAAUUUAACAAAUCCAACAACUUCUCUUACGCUAUAGUUGUGGUUGUUGAGCAUCCUUAGAGAUGUUUGGUGAUGGUUCAAACCUCACAGUUACAAACCCCGGUCCAAGUAUCAUCACAAAUGCUUGCAGCAAUGUGAAGUGUGUUGUAGCCAUCAUAACCAUGGGAUUGGAAUUCGUUUGUUAGAAAUGAAGACAGCUCCAGCAAAAACAGGAGUGAUCAAUCGAAAAGACAACCACAUUUUAUUUCAAUGCACGUAUUUGGAUCUCAUGUUACGCUGGCAGAUACAAGGAACAAUAAUGGAACCACAACAGCUUAAACGUUAUAAUUUUUGAGCAAUUGCUGCCCACUUUGUUGAUUAUGUACUCUAAUGAUAGUUCAAGAGCCAGCUAGAACAGAAGGUGCAAAAAAUGGAAUGGAAUGAUCCUUUUAUAAAUGUAAUUUUUGUUUUCGAGUGUUAAUAUAGAAUCGGCUCUUUCGUCUC